CACUCCUACGGGAGGCAGCAGUGGGGAAUAUUGCACAAUGGGCGCAAGCCUGAUGCAGCCAUGCCGCGUGUAUGAAGAAGGCCUUCGGGUUGUAAAGUACUUUCAGCGGGGAGGAAGGCGAUAAGGUUAAUAACCUUGUCGAUUGACGUUACCCGCAGAAGAAGCACCGGCUAACUCCGUGCCAGCAGCCGCGGUGAUACGGAGGGUGCAAGCGUUAAUCGGAAUUACUGGGCGUAAAGCGCACGCAGGCGGUCUGUCAAGUCGGAUGUGAAAUCCCCGGGCUCAACCUGGGAACUGCAUUCGAAACUGGCAGGCUAGAGUCUUGUAGAGGGGGGUAGAAUUCCAGGUGUAGCGGUGAAAUGCGUAGAGAUCUGGAGGAAUACCGGUGGCGAAGGCGGCCCCCUGGACAAAGACUGACGCUCAGGUGCGAAAGCGUGGGGAGCAAACAGGAUUAGAUACCCCGGUAGUCCCAUGA
rnacentral:rRNA from 1 species